UACGGAGGGUGCAAGCGUUAUCCGGAUUCACUGGGUUUAAAGGGUGCGUAGGUGGGCAGGUAAGUCAGUGGUGAAAUCUCCGAGCUUAACUCGGAAACUGCCGUUGAUACUAUUUGUCUUGAAUAUUGUGGAGGUAAGCGGAAUAUGUCAUGUAGCGGUGAAAUGCUUAGAUAUGACAUAGAACACCAAUUGCGAAGGCAGCUUACUACACAACGAUUGACGCUGAGGCACGAAGGCGUGGGGAUCAAACAGG
rnacentral:rRNA from 1 species